AAUCUAUCAGUGAUGCCUAGCAGUAUAUAGUAGCAAUCUAACAGAACAAAAAAAUCUAAACCUUUAGGUGCAGUUACUAUGUGAUUUAGUCUUUUUAUCAUGAGUUUUGGCUCAAUGGAGGUCAUGAAGAACUUGUCAAAUUCCAUCGUUAGUCAAAUACUAGAUUGGCUCGACUUGAGUUCAUUUGUGAAUCUCAUGAAAACUUUUUUCCACCAUUCAUAUUUACUUCAGUUGAAGACUUUCUGAACUCAGUCUUGUGAAUCGUAUAGGAUUUCUUUUUACCAAGAUCGAUAGAUUUCAUCUAGAUGCAUUCUACUCUAACAGUGAACCGAACCUACUGUAGCUAACAUACACAGUAAAGACUCGAAUGGCUAGGGACCAAGAAAAUAUACAGUCAAACUCAGUAGCCUCACUAUGAAGAGCCAAUCCACC
rnacentral:lncRNA from 1 species